UGGGGAAUAUUGCACAAUGGGCGGAAGCCUGAUGCAGCGACGCCGCGUGAGGGAUGGAGGCCUUCGGGUUGUGAACCUCUUUCGCCGGUGAUGAAGGCCUGUCUUUUUUGGGUGGGUUGACGGUAGCUGGGUAAGAAGCGCCGGCUAACUACGUGCCAGCAGCCGCGGUAAUACGUAGGGCGCGAGCGUUGUCCGGAAUUAUUGGGCGUAAAGGGCUCGUAGGCGGCUGGUCGCGUCUGUCGUGAAAUCCUCUGGCUUAACUGGGGGCUUGCGGUGGGUACGGGCCGGCUUGAGUGCGGUAGGGGAGACUGGAAUUCCUGGUGUAGCGGUGGAAUGCGCAGAUAUCAGGAGGAACACCGGUGGCGAAGGCGGGUCUCUGGGCCGUUACUGACGCUGAGGAGCGAAAGCGUGGGGAGCGAACAGG
rnacentral:rRNA from 1 species